UGGGUUUAACUGUCUUGUCAAUUGGAUGUGUGUUUGCCAAGAUAAAAAGAAAGGAUGUUUGGGCAUCAAGAACAUUAGGAUUUGAAACACCUUCUGGCAAAAUGGGUAUAGAAACUUCUAAAAGAGCCUGAAAGACCUUGGACUAAGCAAAUCAACAAUACUUGCCACUCCAAAAGGAAGUUUGGAUUGUGGGUUAGGAGGUUGUUGAUCAGGCUAUCUCCAAUUUGGAAGGAUAUUAUACAGAUUUGAAAGUUUUCUAGAAGUGCAUUUCUUUCAAGUUGGGUGAUGGGAAGAACAUCUGAUUCUGGGAGCAUGCUUGGAUAAACAACAUUUUUUUUUGCUUCUUUAUUCAGUGAUAUUUUUUAAAGAGCCAUCAAGCCCAAUGUUUCGGUAGCUUCAUGGUAGAAUUGGAGAAGACUGAGAUGGUGUAUCCAACUUAGAGGCUAAUUUACACUUGAUGAAACAAGAUAAUGGGCGCAAUUAAAUGAGCUACUAAGCCCUUUGAGACCAAGCAGAA
rnacentral:lncRNA from 1 species